AAUAAAGAAAAAAUUAAAUUUAGGAUAACAAACAAAAUAUAUAACAAUAUAAUAUAUACUUAAUAAUAAUAAUCAAAUUAUAUAUAUAUAUAAAUAAUAUAAAGGGAUUAAGUUAAAAUAAAUGUUAUAUAAGUAAUAUACGUAAAAUAAUCAACUAUAACUAUUAGGAUACCAACAAUAUUAAGUCGUCAAUUUAGAUAUUCAAUUAAUACAUUGGGAAGUAUAGAGGAAUAUUAAAAUCAUAACCAGAAGCAUUUACACAAAUAAAAAUCAUCUAUAAAGUUAUUGAACAAAAAAAAAAAAAAAAACUAAAUAUAAAUAAAUUUUAGUAAUUAGUGUUAAUAGAAAAUAAUAAGACCAUUGAAAUAAAAUAUACAAUAAAUAAUUCCUAAAGAAGUAUUAUUAAUAUUUCAUAUUUAAAAGAACAAGUGAAAAUAUUUAUUGAAAAAUGCA